rnacentral:rRNA from 1 species
CCUACGGGAGGCACCAGUGGGGAAUAUUGCACAAUGGGCGCAAGCCUGAUGCAGCCAUGCCGCGUGUGUGAAGAAGGCCUUCGGGUUGUAAAGCACUUUCAGCGGGGAGGAAGGCGGUGAGGUUAAUAACCUCAUCGAUUGACGUUACCCGCAGAAGAAGCACCGGCUAACUCCGUGCCAGCAGCCGCGGUAAUACGGAGGGUGCAAGCGUUAAUCGGAAUUACUGGGCGUAAAGCGCACGCAGGCGGUCUGUCAAGUCGGAUGUGAAAUCCCCUGGCUCCACCUGGGAGCUGCAUUCGAAACUGGCAGGCUAGAGUCUUGUAGAGGGGGGUUGAAUUCCAGGUGUAGCGGUGAAAUGCGUAGAGAUCUGGAGGAAUACCGGUGGCGAAGGCGGCCCCCCGGACAAAGACUGACGCUCAGGCGCGAAAGCGUGGGGAGCAAAUAGGAUUAGAUACCCGGGUAGUC